rnacentral:piRNA from 1 species
CAGAAAUCUGUAUGUGUGUGUGU